GGCUAUCUGUAUUUUCCCUGUAGGCUUAAGUGUGAAGACUGAAUGGGGCUAUAAAAAGUCUAUGGUGUGGGGAGUGCCUGACAUCUGGACGGCUUCCCUCGAUGGAGGUAACUGGAUACUGACUCUGUGGGAGAGCAGCGCUGGAAAGAGCAUGCUCAGAGUCCUCCUUACGGCCCCAGUUGCCACCUACCUCUAGU